AGGACGAACGCUGGCGGCGUGCUUAACACAUGCAAGUCGAGCGGUAAGGCCUUUCGGGGUACACGAGCGGCGAACGGGUGAGUAACACGUGGGUGAUCUGCCCUGCACUUCGGGAUAAGCCUGGGAAACUGGGUCUAAUACCGGAUAUGACCUCCUAUCGCAUGGUGGGUGGUGGAAAGAUUUAUCGGUGCAGGAUGGGCCCGCGGCCUAUCAGCUUGUUGGUGGGUAAUGGCCUACCAAGGCGACGACGGGUAGCCGACCUGAGAGGGUGACCGGCCACACUGGGACUGAGACACGGCCCAGACUCCUACGGGAGGCAGCAGUGGGGAAUAUGCACAAUGGCGAAAGCCUGAUGCAGCGACGCCGCGUGAGGAUGACGGCCGUUCGGGUUGUAAACCUCUUUCGAGUAGGGUACGAAGCGCAAGUGACGUACUGCAGAAGAGCACCGGCUAACUCGUACGCCAGCAGGCCGC
rnacentral:rRNA from 1 species